GUGAACGCAGCUCCUGAGCCAUGCAGAGAUUUGAUGUCAUAUUAUUACCCGUUUAAGAAAUCCGAAAAGUCUAUCAAAUCUAAAGAUGACAAAGAAAAAGCAGAAAAGGACAAAAAGAAAGAAUUACUGCAGACAUUGGAAAAAAUGUUUGAAAAAAUGCUUGGUUUGGCAUAGUAACUUUAGAGUGGAAAUUCGGUGAAAAUGGACCUACAAUCCCUUUACUUUAAAGGACUACACA